rnacentral:lncRNA from 1 species
AUAAAAUAAAUGAAAAUACAAUAAAUAACCUAAUUCCUCCACAAAAUAUAUUAACUUCCCGUUUAUCUCCGUGCAAAACGAAAUCAAACCUGAAUUUAUAUUUCAAAUCUAAAUUUAUAAUUAUAAUUUAAGCUAAAUUAAAUUUAAAUAUAUCUAUAUAUUUAAAUAGUUUUUAUUAAAAUUUAAUAAUUAUUAUUAAAUUGAAUUCUACACCUCUUACAUAUGACAAAGCUCUUUACCCUGGAAUUAAGCUACACCCUCUUUUUUAUUUUUCUGAAAUAUAUAAAUUAAUAACGUAUAUUAGUUUUCAAAAAUCCGAAUCCGAAUUCAAAAAUCCAAAUCCAAAUUCAAAAUAUUCUAAUAUAUCCGUAUCCAAAUCAGAAUUCAAAAUAUUGUAAAUUUAACAUCCGAAUUAAUCGGAAUCCAAAUCCGAAUCCGAAUCUGAUCCGAAUUCGAAUUAGACGGGAUGCAUAGUUGGGCAUUCAUAUUCGCAUCCAAUCGAAUUCGGUGUCGAAUUCGAAUUAAUACAUUUUUAAUUGUUAUGGAAAAAACAUUG